GUAAAAAUAAAGUGGAAACCUUGCUCAACAUGUGGCAAGGUGUGGGACGACACCUGGGAGCCAGCCAAAGACUAUUCACAGAAGCAGUGUUCAUGGUCUCACGUACAGCUUGAAGCACAGACGCACAUACUGUACAUUCAUAUGUAUCAUGCUGUUGCGUUUAUUGAUUACACUGCACUGUACAAAUAAAACUGACAUUUCAAUUCACUUUUAUUAAAAAGCCUAUCAAAUGUA